rnacentral:rRNA from 1 species
UACGAAGGGGGCUAGCGUUGUUCGGAAUUACUGGGCGUAAAGCGUAUGCAGGCGGAUCGUUAAGUCGGGGGUGAAAUCCCGAGGCUCAACCUCGGAACUGCCUUCGAUACUGACGGUCUUGAGUCCGGGAGAGGUGAGUGGAACUCCGAGUGUAGAGGUGAAAUUCGUAGAUAUUCGGAAGAACACCAGUGGCGAAGGCGGCUCACUGGCCCGGUACUGACGCUGAGAUACGAAAGCGUGGGGAGCAAACAGG